rnacentral:rRNA from 1 species
UUUCCCUCAGGAUAGCUGGCACUCGUUUAAUGCGAGUCUCAUCUGGUAAAGCGAAUGAUUAGAGGCCUCUUGGGGCCGAAACGACCUCAACCUAUUCUCAAACUUUAAAUGGGUGAGAUCUCUGGCUUGCUUGAAACUUGAAGCCACGAGAUUAACAUUGUAAAAAUGGAUCAGAGUGCCAAGUGGGCCAAUUUUGGUAAGCAGAAACUGGGCUGUGGGA